rnacentral:rRNA from 1 species
UACGGGGGGGGCAAGCGUUGUUCGGAUUCACUGGGCGUAAAGGGUGCGUAGGUGGUGAGGUAAGUUUGAUGUGAAAUCUCCGGGCUCAACCCGGAAAUGGCAUUGAAUACUAUCUUGCUAGAGGAGUGGAGGGGGGACUGGAAUACUUGGUGUAGCAGUGAAAUGCGUAGAUAUCAAGUGGAACACCAGUGGCGAAGGCGGCUCACUGGCCCGGUACUGACGCUGAGGUGCGAAAGCGUGGGGAGCAAACAGG